UCAAGUUAUUAAGGGUGCAGGGCGGAUGCCUUGGCACUAGGAGCCGAUGAAGGACGUGAUAAGCUGCGAUAAGCUUCGGGGAGUUGCACGUAAACUUUGAUCCGAAGAUUUCCGAAUGAGGAAACUCACUUAGAGUAAUGUCUAAGUAUCAUUAAGUGAAUACAUAGCUUAAUGAGGGGAACUCAGGGAACUGAAACAUCUAAGUACCUGAAGGAAGAGAAAGAAAUUCGAUUCCGUAAGUAGCGGCGAGCGAACGCGGAUUAGCCCAAACCAAUAAAGUUUUCUUUAUUGGGGUUGCGGACAUAUCAUAACGAAGAGGUAUCGUAAUUGAAGAGGUUUGGAAAGACCCACCACAGAAGGUAAUAGUCCUGUAUGUUAAACGAGAAGACUUCAGAUAUGAUCCAGAGUACCACGGGACACGUGAAACCCUGUGGGAAGCAGGAGGGACCACCCUCCAAGGCUAAAUACUACCUAGUGACCGAUAGCGUAUAGUACCGUGAGGGAAAGGUGAAAAGAACCCCGGGAGGGGAGUGAAAUAGAACCUGAAACCCUGCACUUACAAGCUGUGGAAGCACAUUUCUUGUGUGACCGCGUACUUUUUGUAGAACGGGCCAACGAGUUACGUUAAGUAGCAAGGUUAAGCACUUAAGGUGCGGAGCCGUAGCGAAAGCGAGUUUUAACUGAGCGUUCAGUUACUUGACGUAGACCCGAAACCGGGCGACCUACCCAUGAGCAGGAUGAAGCGAAAGUAAAAUUUCGUGGAGGUCCGAACCCACGAGCGUUGAAAAGCUCGGGGAUGACUUGUGGGUAGCGGUGAAAUUCCAAUCGAGCCCGGAGAUAGCUGGUUCUCCCCGAAAUAGCUUUAGGGCUAGCCUCAAGGUGAGAGAUACGGAGGUAGAGCACUGAAUGUCCUAGGGGGUAUUGCACCUACCGAAGACUAUCAAACUCCGAAUGCCGUCAUCUUAUACUUGGGAGUCAGACUGUGGGUGAUAAGAUUCAUAGUCGAAAGGGCAACAGCCCAGAUCGUCAGCUAAGGUCCCUAAAUGUAAGUUAAGUGGUAAAGGAUGUGGGAUUGCACAGACAACCAGGAUGUUGGCUUAGAAGCAGCCACUCAUUCAAAGAGUGCGUAAUAGCUCACUGGUCGAGUGAUCCUGCGCCGAAGAUUUCCGGGGCUAAAACUUACUACCGAAGCUACGGCAUCAGUAAUGAUGGGUAGGGGAGCUUCCCAUACGGGUUGAAGCAUGACCGUAAGGACAUGUGGACAGUAUGGGAGUGAGAAUGUUGGCAUGAGUAGCGAGAUGUGGGUGAGAAUCCCACAGGCCGUAAACCCAAGGUUUCCAGGGGAAGGUUCGUCCGCCCUGGGUUAGUCGGGACCUAAGCUGAGGCCGAAAGGCGUAGGUGAUGGACAACAGGUUGAUAUUCCUGUACUACCGAUAACCGUUUGAGAGAAGGGAUGACACAGUAGGAUAAGCUAAGCACACUGUUGGUUAUGUGUGCCCAAGCAUUGAGGCAGUCAAAGUAGGCAAAUCCGCUUUGAUAAUGCUGGGAUGUGAUGGGGAGCGAAAUUUAGUAGCGAAGUAGCUGAUUUCACACUGUCAAGAAAAGUCUCUAUCGAGGUUAAAGGUACCCGUACCGCAAACCGACACAGGUGGGUGAGGAGAGUAUCCUAAGGCCAGCGAGAGAACUGUUGUUAAGGAACUCGGCAAAAUGACCCCGUAACUUAGGGAUAAGGGGUGCCACCAUCAGGUGGCCGCAGAGAAUAGGCCCAAGCGACUGUUUACCAAAAACAUAGGUUUCUGCUAAGUCGCAAGACGAUGUAUAGGAGCUGACGCCUGCCCGGUGCUGGAAGGUUAAGGGGAUCUGUUAGAGCAAUCGAAGCAGUGAACUUAAGCCCCAGUAAACGGCGGCCGUAACUAUAACGGUCCUAAGGUAGCGAAAUUCCUUGUCGGGUAAGUUCCGACCCGCACGAAAGGCGUAACGAUUUGGGCACUGUCUCAACAACAGACUCGGUGAAAUUGUAAUUCCGGUGAAGAUGCCGGAUACCUGCGACAGGACGGAAAGACCCCAUGGAGCUUUACUGUAGCUUGACAUUGGGUCUUGGUACUACAUGUACAGGAUAGGUGGGAGGCUUUGAAACCAGGACGCCAGUUUUGGCGGAGCCAUCCUUGGGAUACCACCCUUGUAGUACUGGGACUCUAACCAUAGGCCAUGAAUCUGGUCUUGGGACACUGUCAGGUGGGCAGUUUGACUGGGGCGGUCGCCUCCCAAAAGGUAACGGAGGCGCUCAAAGGUUCUCUCAGUACGGUCGGAAAUCGUACGUAGAGUGUAAAGGCAAAAGAGAGCUUGAUUGCAAGACAUACAGGUCGAG
rnacentral:rRNA from 1 species